GAUUCUAAUCAUUUGGAUGGGUGGCCAAACACUUUUGGCAAUAUAGUGUAUAUGCCUGCCUAGAACCAGCCCUGCUGAGUUUCAUUGUCUGCUUAUUCCUACUCAGGGAGGAGGCAUACUGCUCGAGGAGGCUGCAGUCCGUGCUGUCCGCACCGCCGUUUCUUGGACUGGGCGCUCGCACUGUCAUCACCGACUCUCCCGUCCCGCUGCUCAAGAAACCAUCCUCCUGCACCGCCAGCUCUUCGCCCGUAGUCUGGAAGCCCGAGUCCGGGAAGGAGACGUCCAUGGCCGCUUGGUUUGUGGUGCUGCAAGCCGCAGGGGGCGGCGGCGCCGCCUGGCACGGACCACCGGGGAUGGGAGGGAGAUCCCGCAGCUGUUCCUCUACAGACUGCUUCCACUGCAGCAUGGACUGCGCCUGGAAGAGAAACCUAACAGCAUCCUCCUGUACCAGCCGUUGUAACCUCUCCUCCUCGCACUGCCUCUGCACCCUGCAAAUCAAAAUACGCACCACUUGAGUGGAAAUUAUGUUUGGUCCAAGUGGGGACAAAAUAAAACUACAUGAAUCUCAAAUUUUGGACACAGUCCAUCUGUAUUUUUCUCUGUCUGGGCGACAGAAUUUAGAGCCUGCUCCUUUGACCAUGCCUACUCUGUU